ensembl:lncRNA
CACGGCAGGGUCGACUGGGGUCGUUCUGAUUGUGGCCCACGCCUAGAGCUAUAAACGGCGCCACGUGCCAAUCAAGACUUGAGCGUAAACCACACAGGGAAUCGAUUUAUAGUAUGUAGGUAUGACGAGGCAUAUCUGUCCCUGGGCUUUACAAGCACUAUGAAAUGAAUUGUUGGGGUCUGUACGUAAGAUUAGACGGUGGUGGUUGUACGUCAUGGUGGAAUAAAGAUUGAAGACUGAAUCAUACACAGUACGUACAUGGAGUGUAAGAACUUUGAAGGAGCAAUACUUGGUAUUUGAUCAAGUCAAAGCAUAUCUAGGUUUCCCAUUCAAAGAUAUUGAUGUGUCUCAGAAGCUGUUGGUGUUUCUUAAUAAUGAGACAGGAGAUAUAGUGAGUUUGUCCAGCGGUCACUCAGCUGUGUUUCCUCACAGACUGUACGUGUGAAGUGAAUAAAGAAACGACUGAUGUCCUUGAUGCUCUCCAACAAACACACACACAGAAACUCUCCCUCGCUGAGCUACUCUCAACAACCUCAUGGGACAGUGUGUGUGUGUGUGUGGCCACUCUCAUGUCCAGUCUAUCACUUGCUGAUCUAUAAGAGGUCUAGCACUCCCCAACUCACUAAUGACUGUCCCAGAGGUGUGUAUGUGCUUGUGUUCCCCCCCCGGCCCCCCCAUACGCCUGCAGCCUUUGAACCCAUGAUACACACACACACACACACACUCACAAAUAUACAUUGAGAGGCCAUUGUUCACACACACUCUAAAAGGUCACAGGUCACAUGCUAAAGUGACAUCACUUCCUUAGUAUCGAUCAGGGCUAUUCGACGAGGUCUGGUUAGGCAUCAUUUCCUCACUCGAUAAUUCUUUCCCUAUGAUUUGAUAACUAUUGGAGUAGCCCAGCAGUUGUAAUAACGUCUGUAUUUGGUCAACAACUGAUUAUGAAAUCACAAUGUUGUGGCUGCAGACAAUAGCUGAGAAAGAUCGUUUUUAAAGCUCCAUGCUGCAAACUUCCCUCGUUCAUGCAGGUUCGCGACAGGAGGAAGAGGAAACAUUCUAGAGGCAAGAAUUUUGGUGCCACGGUUUCACCAAGAUGGCCUCCACGUUUUCCCUCCACGUGCCGCGGCCUCCCACCGUUUAGACACUCUGUUUGCCACUUUGCACGGCCUGGUUACCCUCUGCUUCAACCGAGAGGAAGCUCACUCCAGCACACAUCGUAAACGCAUCAAACCUUUGCCUCUGCAACACAUUCUGUGGUUCCUUCAGUGUUCAGACCCAGAAAGGUAGACUGUCCCCUCCCAUUUAACAUAUUUACACAUGAAUGGACACGUUGUGUAUGCGUGAAAUGAAGCCUCCUUUCCUUGACAAAACACCGCUCAAUUAACCCCCCACCUCUAUAGAAGCAGAGCAGGGACAAAAAACAGCGGUGUCAGAUUGCAAACCCAGCCCUCUGCACCAAGCUCCGCCUCCAGGGAAGGUAAGAUGGAGGGAAUGAGGAGGGGGGGAGGGAGGGGGUGCAGGGCGAGCGUGUGGUUGCCAGGCGAUACCGUGUGGAUGUGAGGAUGUCAUGCUCGGCGGGAGCUGUGGCUCGAUGCUGCAGAAUGACCUACUUUUAAUCAACAGGGAGGAAACAAGGAGCGUUGGCAAAGAGAGACGGUGGGUGAGGAG